rnacentral:tRNA from 1 species
AAGAUGUUAAGAUGGGCCCUGAAAAGCCCCGCGGGCA